UACGGAGGGGGCGAGCGUUAUUCGGAAUUAUUGGGCGUAAAGGGCGCGUAGGCGGCUAGAUGUGUCAAAGGUGAAAUCCCUCGGCUCAACUGAGGAACUGCCUUUGAAACUGUCUGGCUUGAGGCCGGGAGAGGGUAGCGGAAUUCCCAGUGUAGCGGUGAAAUGCGUAGAUAUUGGGAGGAACACCAGUGGCGAAGGCGGCUACCUGGACCGGUUCUGACGCUGAGGCGCGAAAGCGUGGGGAGCGAACAGG
rnacentral:rRNA from 1 species